GACGAACGCUGGCGGCGUGCUUAACACAUGCAAGUCGAACGGAAAGGCCCUGCUUUUGUGGGGUGCUCGAGUGGCGAACGGGUGAGUAACACAUGAGUAACCUGCCCUUGACUUUGUGAUAACAUCAGGAAACUCGGGCUCAUACCGGAUAGGAGCUCCUGCUCCACGUUGGGGGUUGGAGAAUUUCGGCGGUGGGGGAUGGUCUGGCGGCUUAUGAGCUUGAUGGUGUGGUAGUGGCGUACGAAGCGUUAGACGGGUAGCCGGCCUGGGAGGGUUACCGGCGACAAUGGUACUGAGAGAGGGACCAGAAGGGUACGUGAGGCAGAAGGGGGGAGCAUUGCAGAAUGAGGCGAAGCGUGAGGCAGCAACGUUGCGUGCGGGAUGAUGGGUUACGGGUGGAAAACCGAUUUGGCAGUAGACGAACCGGUAGUGACGGUAAUUGGUAAAAAAGCAACGGCUAACUACGUG
rnacentral:rRNA from 1 species